AUUGAACGCUGGCGGCGUGCCUAACACAUGCAAGUCGAGCGGUAACAGGUGUAGCAAUACAUGCUGACGAGCGGCGAACGGGUGAGUAAUGCUUCGGAAUCUACCCAAUGGUGGGGAAUAACCAGCCGAAAGGUUGGCUAAUACCGCAUACGUCCCACGGGAGAAAGCAGGGGAUCGCAAGACCUUGCGCCAAUGGAUGAGCCGAAGUCGGAUUAGCUAGUUGGAGGGUAACGGCCUACCAAGGCGACGAUCCGUAGCUGGUCUGAGAGGACGACCAGCCACACUGGGACUGAGACACGGCCCAGACUCCUACGGGAGGCAGCAGUGGGGAAUAUUGGACAAUGGGGGAAACCCGUGAUCCAGCGACGCCGCCGUGUGUGAAGAAGGCCUG
rnacentral:rRNA from 1 species